GGUGGUAUAGCCAAGUGGUAAGGCACAGGUCUGCAAAACCUCGAUCACCGGUUCGAAUCCGGUUACCACCU
rnacentral:tRNA from 2 species